UACUUUUUUUUUUUUUUUUUUUUUUUUUUUUUUUUUUUUUUUUUUUUUUUUUUUUUGCUGUUUGUUCUUCUGAAGAAACGGUCACGAGAG
rnacentral:ribozyme from 1 species